rnacentral:lncRNA from 1 species
UGCUCCACAACGGAAAAGGAGACCCAUGAGAUCAUGUUAUGUGACAUUACCUGUGGAGAUAUGAACAAACCUCUAGUCAUCUCAGACACAGAGGCUCUCAACAGACCAAGGGGAAGAUUCCAUCCGAGUAGUGUCCUGUCAUAGGUCAGUGUGCCCCUUCAUUUCCCACAAGGCUCCUGUGCUGAAGUCUGGGGCUCACUCCCUGCGGAUGAGGCCUUACUCAGAGAUGUGGCCAUUGCCAAGGUCUUGGGCUUCCAGUUUAGGUGCCUGUGGCUAACGGUGAUCUGAGGACGGGAGAAGGAAAAUUCCAGAAACAAAAAUAUGGAUACUCUUUCCACUAUGAACACGGUGAAAUCUUGUCCUCUGUACUUGGGACGGGGAUUGUCCGUUUGUACAGCUUCUAUGCCGUAUAAGCUACCACCUGUGUGUGCUCAGGACUGCCUCGGGGAUGAGACCAAUCAUCAAGACAUUGCAGUGCUUGAGCUGGGGUAGCUAACUGUGUCUGUAAUAAGCUUAGCACGUCUAAUUUAUAAAUUAAACUGUACUAUGGG